GUGUGAGACUGAUUUACACUAGUUAGGAUUUGGUCCAAAGCCAAAGGCGUGUACAUAAAAUGGCAAAGCAUAUGAAAUGCUAUUUUAAAGAAAAAUGAAAGGUUAUCCAGGAGAACCCAUUUAUUCCUAUUACUUUUUAGAGCCCUGUGAUUCAACACCCAUGGAAUUUAAUAAGAGGUUUUGGCUUGGGUCCCAUGUGAGCAAUGAGAUCCUAAAUUUUUCUCUGAAGGACACUGGCAAAGAUUUCAUUAAAUGUCCCAUCCACUACAAGCCACUUCUAUAAGUGAAGGUGUGUUGCAGGUACAGAAAAGCAUGUGGGAGAACAUGUGUCAUUAUGUGUCCAGAAAAGGAAAACAGAGUAUUGUUUCUCAAAUGAUUUAUUGCUUGUCCCUUGCACUUUGCACUCUAAGUGAGAAGUAAAUUUGAGGAUGAGAAGUUGAUCUACCAGGGUAGUGGCCUGAAGUACUUGCAGAGCUCUCUGUAGUCUCACUGUCUUUGCAGACCCUCCCUUGACAGAGAUCAAGAGUUGAAUGAGGAGUUGCUCUUGACACCACAAUUAAUUUUAUUUUUUUUUGCCUCUCUCUUUUUCAGACAUCUUUUCCCAAGGAGGGCAGCAGCUGCACAUCUUUACAUCAGGUGCCAUUGGUGUAUACAAUCCCAGGGCUCCAGCUUGCUUUAUUUUUUUUUAAGACUCUCUUUUUCACUGAAUGAAGGGCUCACAGAUCACAACUCUGCCUUCCAAUGGUAAAGCAAAUCCAAUGGCCACUGCAGGUAAAUUGGAGUUAAUUAAUUACUUGUACAUUCUUUUGGCCAUUAGAUGUAUCAGGUUUGCUCAGCAGCUUCUAAAAAUCUUGUCCUUGACUCCUGGUGCUGUUGAUAUCUGAAUCAAAUGCCUUCCUUUUACUGUUUGCACAUUUUAUUUCUUGGCAGGACAGCCUGACCAUAAGUGUACCACAGGAUGGGAAUGAAGCAGAACUUACAUAAAUGGUCUGGUAGUAAGGUAGUGAUGAGAAAAAUGUAUAGAGUGAAAAUUCCUACUGCUUCUCCGUGGAAAGAGCCAGGAAAUCUCCAGGAGUUUCCCAGGGAAAAUGUCUGUGACCAGAGACACGCUGAUGGGCCGUGGUGGCUGAGCCACACUCAGGGCAAGGGUAGCAAAUCCUGUCCUUACCCUGCUGCUCCCGAGGCUGCUGAAUCCUGGAUGAGAUCCCAGGGGCUUUGGGACACCUU
rnacentral:lncRNA from 1 species